AGAGUUUGAUCAUGGCUCAGGACGAACGCUGGCGGCGUGCCUAAUACAUGCAAGUAGAACGCUGAAGAGAGGAGCUUGCUCUUCUUGGAUGAGUUGCGAACGGGUGAGUAACGCGUAGGUAACCUGCCUUGUAGCGGGGGAUAACUAUUGGAAACGAUAGCUAAUACCGCAUAACAAUGGAUGACCCAUGUCAUUUAUUUGAAAGGGGCAAAUGCUCCACUACAAGAUGGACCUGCGUUGUAUUAGCUAGUAGGUGAGGUAACGGCUCACCUAGGCGACGAUACAUAGCCGACCUGAGAGGGUGAUCGGCCACACUGGGACUGAGACACGGCCCAGACUCCUACGGGAGGCAGCAGUAGGGAAUCUUCGGCAAUGGGGGCAACCCUGACCGAGCAACGCCGCGUGAGUGAAGAAGGUUUUCGGAUCGUAAAGCUCUGUUGUAAGUCAAGAACGAGUGUGAGAGUGGAAAGUUCACACUGUGACGGUAGCUUACCAGAAAGGGACGGCUAACUACGUGCCAGCAGCCGCGGUAAUACGUAGGUCCCGAGCGUUGUCCGGAUUUAUUGGGCGUAAAGCGAGCGCAGGCGGUUUGAUAAGUCUGAAGUUAAAGGCUGUGGCUCAACCAUAGUUCGCUUUGGAAACUGUCAAACUUGAGUGCAGAAGGGGAGAGUGGAAUUCCAUGUGUAGCGGUGAAAUGCGUAGAUAUAUGGAGGAACACCGGUGGCGAAAGCGGCUCUCUGGUCUGUAACUGACGCUGAGGCUCGAAAGCGUGGGGAGCGAACAGGAUUGGAUACCCUGGUAGUCCACGCCGUAAACGAUGAGUGCUAGGUGUUGGAUCCUUUCCGGGAUUCAGUGCCGCAGCUAACGCAUUAAGCACUCCGCCUGGGGAGUACGACCGCAAGGUUGAAACUCAAAGGAAUUGACGGGGGCCCGCACAAGCGGUGGAGCAUGUGGUUUAAUUCGAAGCAACGCGAAGAACCUUACCAGGUCUUGACAUCCCGAUGCUAUUUCUAGAGAUAGAAAGUUACUUCGGUACAUCGGUGACAGGUGGUGCAUGGUUGUCGUCAGCUCGUGUCGUGAGAUGUUGGGUUAAGUCCCGCAACGAGCGCAACCCCUAUUGUUAGUUGCCAUCAUUCAGUUGGGCACUCUAGCGAGACUGCCGGUAAUAAACCGGAGGAAGGUGGGGAUGACGUCAAAUCAUCAUGCCCCUUAUGACCUGGGCUACACACGUGCUACAAUGGUUGGUACAACGAGUUGCGAGUCGGUGACGGCAAGCUAAUCUCUUAAAGCCAAUCUCAGUUCGGAUUGUAGGCUGCAACUCGCCUACAUGAAGUCGGAAUCGCUAGUAAUCGCGGAUCAGCACGCCGCGGUGAAUACGUUCCCGGGCCUUGUACACACCGCCCGUCACACCACGAGAGUUUGUAACACCCGAAAUCGGUGAGGUAACCUUUUGGAGCCAGCCGCCUAAGGUGGGAUAGAUGAUUGGGGUGAAGUCGUAACAAGGUA
rnacentral:rRNA from 1 species